UACGGAGGGUGCAAGCGUUAUCCGGAUUCACUGGGUUUAAAGGGUGCGUAGGUGGGUUAUUAAGUCAGUGGUGAAAGCCUGCAGCUUAACUGCAGAAUUGCCAUUGAUACUGAUAAUCUUGAGUACAGUUGAGGCGGGCGGAAUGUGUCAUGUAGCGGUGAAAUGCUUAGAUAUGACACAGAACACCGAUUGCGAAGGCAGCUCGCUAAACUGCAACUGACACUGAGGCACGAAAGCGUGGGGAGCAAACAGGG
rnacentral:rRNA from 1 species